UACAGAGGUGGCAAGCGUUGUUCGGAAUUACUGGGCGUAAAGGGCGCGUAGGCGGUCCCGUCAGUCCCUUGUGAAAUCCCUCGGCUUAACCGGGGAACUGCGUCCGAUACUGGUUGGCUUGAGUUUGGGAGAGGGAUGCGGAAUUCCAGGUGUAGCGGUGAAAUGCGUAGAUAUCUGGAGGAACACCGGUGGCGAAGGCGGCAUCCUGGACCAAUACUGACGCUGAGGAGCGAAAGCCAGGGGAGCAAACGGG
rnacentral:rRNA from 1 species